rfam:TPA: Bos taurus chromosome 12, whole genome shotgun sequence.
UCCCUUUUGGCUUAGCUGGUAAAGAAUCUGCCUGCAAUGCAGGAGACUUGGGUUCGAUCCCUGGGUUGGGAA